rnacentral:rRNA from 1 species
UACGGAGGAUCCGAGCGUUAUCCGGAUUUAUUGGGUUUAAAGGGUGCGUAGGCGGCCUUUUAAGUCAGCGGUGAAAGUCUGUGGCUCAACCAUAGAAUUGCCGUUGAAACUGUAGUUCUUGAGUGAUGGAGAGGCAGGCGGAAUUCCUAGUGUAGCGGUGAAAUGCGUAGAUAUUAGGAGGAACACCAGUGGCGAAGGCGACUUUCUGGACUGUACCUGACGCUGAGGCGCGAAAGCGUGGGUAGCGAACGGG